rnacentral:lncRNA from 1 species
AUAGAAUGUAAACAAAAUGGGGUAGGUCGGGGGUUGUUACCUGUUUUCUUCACUGUUACAUCUCUAGCACCUCUGAUAGUACCAGGCUGAUGGCAGAUGCUCAGUGUGUAUUUGUGGAAUGAAUGGAUAGAUGGAUUGAUAAAUGGAUUCAUGACACCACUUUUCUCAGUUACCUGGUCCCCAACCCCAUGGUGAUACUUGACUCAUCCUUCUUCCUCCUCUGCAGAAUCUAGUAAUUUCCAUGUCUAUGGAGAUUAUCUCUGCAUCCCUCCCUGCCCUCCCCCUUUGCGUUUCCACUUCUACUCUCUAAGCUCCUUGGGAACAGAGGCUCCUCACCGACAUUUCCCCCAUGGGGCUCGGCACAGGGUCUUGGCAAUGACAAUUCUCACUGAUCCAGCCUUUACAAUUUUCCAAGAAUUUUUCACAUCAUCUUGCUCUACCUAGGGCAGAUUCAGGACUUGAACCUCAGUCUUCAACUCUAAAUAACUUACUGUUGUUAUUCUCAUUCCACUGUUGUUCUGAUUUGUCCAUAAUUUAUGAUGAAUGAAUGAAAGAGUACUCAAGAGUGAUUGUAGAGGAAAAACUGAAAAAGGGAAGACCAUGUUGACACAAAAGGACAGAAAAGAACAGGAAAACAAGUGAAUGGAAGUGGGGGAAGAGGGGGUAACUAAAAGCUGGGCCUGGAGAGGACAACCUCGCAGGGAUUAGAUUACUCUGUGUCCCACUGUCUUCUAAUAUAAGACAGAAAGUCAGGUAGCCAACCCAGGAGAAGAUGCCAGAGACAAAGGGGCAGGGAAGUUCUGAAUCCAAAGGAGAUAUUUUCUAUCAGUUUGUGAGUUUAUUACUUAUAAGCAAUAAGUAUUAAAAAUAUAAGCAAUUCCCCUGGGCAAAAAUUAUAAAGGACAAAAAAAUGUAUAAAAAAUAAAAUUAAAAUCACCAGUUAUUGCACCAUCCAGAAAAUGUCAUUCUAAUAUUUUGAUGUAUAUCUUUUCAGACUAUGUAAGUAAUCAUAAAUGUAAAAUAAGUAGAGGCACUUAUAUUUUAUAUAUUAUAGUAUAUAUAUUACAAUAUACGUAUCAUGUAUAUACUUGUGUAUAUACACUUGUGUGUGUGUAUAUAUAUAAUAUAUAUACACUAGCAUACACACAAUCUGUUGUUAAUAAAAUGAGAUACAUACAGUUUUGUAACCUGCUUUUGUUCACUUAAUAACAUGUUAUGAACACAAAGGAGUUUUUAUAAGCCCAAAGGGCAGUUUGAAAAGAUAACCUUUGGGAUAAACAGGAAGCCAGAGAAGAUAUAUGAACAUAAAAUGAGCAGCUAAGCUCUGUGGUUUUGAUAAAUACUGUUAAAGUAAAUAAAACUUAAAUGCCCUGCCAGGUUAGGUAAUGAUUAGCUCCCUAUCAGCAAGGCCACUAAUUCAUAGACUCAUAGGAUGUUGGUUCUUGAAGGUGCCUUUGAGGUUAUCUAAAUCAAUCCCCUUACCUUCAGCAUUGAGAAACUACACACCCAGAGACAUUGAAUAACAUGCCUAAAGUGCUAUGACUGGUAAACCACAGAGCCAGGAUGACAGCCAAGUCCCCUGACUCCCAGUCCAGUGCUCUUACCACCAAACCACACUGAUCAACAAUGUAUGUGCACUUCAGCUACAUGAACUGAUGUGCAGAAUGGAACAGGGAGUGAUGCGGCCCUAGAUCCAGUGGUUCUCUGGGUGUAUAACAUUGCCGAAGGGGUGUGUGUUAAGAGAGCAGCAAAGUGUCCCUGGGCAGGCCACUGACGAGACAGCAGAGUUCAGUAGUGAGGAGUGCUUGGCCCUGAUGUUCGCUUAUUGAUCUUGCUGUACCUCUGGGCAAUUUACAUAAACUUUUUAGCCUCCAUGUUCUUAUCUUUAAAAAGGAGAUAAGAGUGGUAUCUACCUCAUCAGGUUGCAGUGAGAAUUAAGAGAAAAUGCACACAAAGGGCUUAACAAGGUGCUUGGCAUAUAGAAAGGGCUCAAUAAAUGUGAGCCAUCAUGAUUAUUAAUGCUCUGGCAUAAAGGCCAAUGUCCUUGUAAACUUUAAAAGGAGUUUAAGGUCAUAUGAUAGCUGUCCUUGGCUGCAGACAUCUAUAGGGAAAGGGGACUCAGAAGGAAGCCCAACAAAGUACAGUAACUAAGAGACAUCAUCAUCAUCCAAAGGAGGACAUGUGGCCCAGGAUGGAGCUGUAAGCGACUGGAGACUCAGGGACUGUUCAGUACUCUCACUGGAAGUCCCCCCCAACAAGCCACAGUGAGGCCAUCCUCAUAUUCCUUGGGCCAGCCACUUAUUAUACAAAUCAAGGGUGAAGAAACAUUUUUCUUCAUUUUCCAAUCAAUUUUUUUUUCUUUUGAGAUGGAGUCUCGCUCUGUCACCCAGGCUGGAGUGCAGUGGCCCAAUCUCAGCUCACUGCAACCUCCACCUCCCUGCUUCAAG